rnacentral:lncRNA from 1 species
CUCACUGCUCCUCAGCUCCUUGAUCUCCUCUGCUGCCUCCCUCUCCAUCAACUCGGCCGCUUCGCUCUCUGCCUCUGGUCUUUCCUCUGCUUGCCCCCUCCCGAUUCCUUCUACUACUACUCUUACUAUUCUUCUUCCUCUUCCUCUUCUGAUGACGACGACUCUGGCGGCGGCGAUUUUGUGGUGGUUCGUUUCCACAAUCAACUCAGAGGAGACGGAGCUUCUCCCUCUUACUCAGCUGACUCCGCUGCCGAUUCCCCUUCCUCCUCCCCUGUUUGUAUGGAUGAUUACUACCAUCACUCGCACUCUGAUUGAGUCCUUGCUCUGGAUGACCAACUCGUCGUGCCGGUUUGAUAGCACCCGUAUUUUUGUACAGUAACUAUCUUAUUCCCUGGAUUCAUGGCUUCUUUUGUUUUUUUUUCUUCUACCAGUUGCUUGAUUGUGUAGUGUAAG